GACGAACGCUGGCGGCGUGCUUAACACAUGCAAGUCGAGCGGUAAGGCCCUUUCGGGGGUACACGAGCGGCGAACGGGUGAGUAACACGUGGGUGACCUGCCCUCAGCUCUGGGAUAAGCCUGGGAAACCGGGUCUAAUACUGGAUAUGACUCCAUGACGCAUGUUGUGGGGUGGAAAGCCUUGUGCGGCUGAGGAUGGGCCCGCGGCCUAUCAGCUUGUUGGUGGGGUGANGGCCUACCAAGGCGACGACGGGUAGCCGGCCUGAGAGGGCGACCGGCCACACUGGGACUGAGACACGGCCCAGACUCCUACGGGAGGCAGCAGUGGGGAAUCUUGCGCAAUGGGGCGAAAAG
rnacentral:rRNA from 1 species